UUAAUCCAGCAGAUCUCUGGUUGGAGCAUCCCUGUCGUGGGCUUUUGCGUGUGUCAAGGUCACACGUUAAAACAAUUAAGGGCACCUGAGCUGUGUGUGGAAGCUAGGGGAUUCAUCACCAUGGUUAGUGUCUCAAUGGAACAGAUGCUUCUGUCAGCAGCAACAGCCUGAGGGAAAAUAAGAGUCUUAGAGUAAAUUACCCAGGCUGUGUCAAACUCUAUCAGUUUUCCUGAUCUUCUCACCCUGCUUCUUUUUCUUGAUUCUUCCCAAACAAAUCACAAGACGACAAGGCAGGGGAAGAGCAGGAUAAACUGGAAAGGGCACAAGAAGCUCCACUUGUCAAUGCUCUUGCAUCUCAACUUCCUCAUGGAUGAAUUGGAUUUGUCCACCACUGUGUAGACGUAAUUCUGCGUCCUCACAUCAGUAAAAUUGCUAAAAGCAUAAUUACAUUACAUUACAUUAUUGGCAUUUGGCAGACGCUCUUAUCCAGAGCGAUGUACAGUUGAUCAGUCUAAGCAGGAGACAAUCCUCCCCUGGAGCAAUGCAGGGUUAAGGGCCUUGCUCAAAGGCCCAACGGCUGUGUGGAUCUUAUUGUGGCUACACUGGGAUUCAAAUCCCCAACCUUGCCUGUCCCAGUCAUUUACCUUAACCACUACGCUACAGGCCGCCCAUAAUGAUGUGUACAUCCUUUAUCAACGUAAGCAGCUGCCUAUGGAUGGAAUUUUCCGUCAGAUAAUUUGUGCAGAGUGCUGUGGAAUGCCGACAGGACCGGUCAUGUUCUGGAAGCUACCUGCCAUCAAGGCGGGCGGGUCAGCCGCGGAAAGAAUGACUUCUGGAGAGGGAAGCGCAGUUGAGAGGAGGUGACCCUCGGAAAGGCUUGGCAGCGGAGGGUGCAGGAAAGGCAGGUCUCAACACUUACCGCUUCACCCCGACUGACACGCAGGCAUGGCGCGUCCAAACCGCCUGGAACAGACGCGUUCAGCCUUGACACAGAGCUGCACCUCCUGCAGCAAGGCGCAGCAUGCCCACGUACACUGAGGCGCACCCACACACAAACCAAUAAAGAGAGAAAAACAUGCGUGGACCCAUGCUUAAGCGCGCAUUCUCUUAAAAACACACGCUGUACACAAACAGUGAUUACACAUAGAAACACACGCGUAUACAAAAACAGCUAGACACGCUAUCAUAUAUUGCACAGUAUACAGACAUGCGUACGUACGUGAGAGCUUGCACAUGUUGGAAGGAAAACACAAACAGUCACAUAUGCUAAUGCAGAAAUCUCAUGUAUGCAUACAUUCAUUGCAGGAACUCACUAAUGUAUGCAUGUGGUUAGAUACAUAUUACUCUUAACAUUUCAACCCCUUUACCAUAUUGCUAAAAUGGCAAGGAUGAGGGAAUGUUACUUUUCGAGAGGCAGGCUUACUUGAGGUGACAUUAAAGGCAGUUCCUUUGUCGUGAUGAAAGAUGUUCUGUGAUUUUAGCUGGCAGAGUCACCGGGCCAGACUUAGGGAGGACACCUGAUAUCCCUGUGGGCUCAGUGGGAACUAGAAAAAUAAUACAGCUCUAUAAUUUGAGCUCAAAUGAAUGGCUGUAGCUUCUUACGCCACAUAUUCUCCUCUACCGCAAAUGAAUCAGUGGAUACAGAAGCUCAAACUUCCUUUAUUGGGCUAAUGGAGUAGACUAAAAGAUGGACAAUACAGACCAAAGGUCCGCCACCUUUUGAGUAAAGAAAGAAUGUGUCUGUGGGACACUCAGAUUAAAGAGAUCUAAUCUGGUUUAAAGCCGUUGCAGACCUGUGGGUAUGAUGGAAUGUUCCACCAAAAUAGGAGCUUUACCAAGGCAGAAGACAUAAGUACGUGCCUGUUUUUACAAAUGGUGCAAUCAUACUGAAGAGGCCAAUAUAGAGAUUAUGACAAACCUCCACAGCUGGCAGAAGCCCAAUGAUCAGAGCAGAGAUGAUGAAAAACCUUGAUAGAUUACAAAACUUAACGGAUCUGAAGUUUUCAAAUUUACCUGCUCAGCGAAUCAUCUGUCCGUGCUGGCAGUUGAUUUAUCACCAUCUACUGGUAGCAGAGUGGAACUGCGUGCUGCAGUAUAGCUUGCCGGUCUUCUUGCACUGCAGUUGUUGCAUGUGUGGGACGAACUGAUAGCCCACUAGGGGCCAGUGUGCAGUCAAAGAGAGCUGGUCAGAGGAGACCAGAAGAAUCUUGUCACAACUGUGAUAUGCAGCCAAGAAGCAACCGCACACCCACCCCUGUCACGACCUCAGCUCCAGCAGUCUUUCAUUUACGUAUAUGUGCAGUACAUCGCCUUUCCGCUCCUCUGUUCUCUAAUAGUGUACUAAUAGGCACAAUCUGCUUAAGACAUACUCCACAGACUCAGAAAACAAUGAAUUAAUGAAUGAAUGAAGCCAUAAAAGGUUAAUUACUUAUGUGAUACUGUAGGCUCUUGUGUAUAAAAGCACCUAACGCAUGUUGGUUUGGUUUAUCGGCAGUAGAGGACACACACGCACACACACAUACACGCACGCAGACACACACACGCACAGUUCUUGGCUGGACUCCUGGGACCCUUGGAACAGACCUGGGUGUGUACAGUAUGCACUUGACAAACUGAGAUAUUGUCUGUGUUAUUGAUAUUAUAGGCUUACCUCAAAUAAGUGAAUGACAACUGACAUGAUACUGAACUAUAUUUGAAUAUUAAGAAUUUAACU